GAGUUUGAUCAUGGCUCAGAUUGAACGCUGGCGGCAUGCCUUACACAUGCAAGUCGAACGGCAGCACGGGAGCUUGCUCCUGGUGGCGAGUGGCGAACGGGUGAGUAAUGCAUCGGAACGUAUCCUGGAGUGGGGGAUAACGUAGCGAAAGUUACGCUAAUACCGCAUAUUCUGUGAGCAGGAAAGCGGGGGACCUUCGGGCCUCGCGCUCUUGGAGCGGCCGAUGUCGGAUUAGCUAGUUGGUGAGGUAAAGGCUCACCAAGGCGACGAUCCGUAGCAGGUCUGAGAGGAUGAUCUGCCACACUGGAACUGAGACACGGUCCAGACUCCUACGGGAGGCAGCAGUGGGGAAUUUUGGACAAUGGGGGCAACCCUGACCCAGCCAUGCCGCGUGAGUGAAGAAGGCCUCGGUU
rnacentral:rRNA from 1 species